rnacentral:rRNA from 1 species
GAUGAACGCUGGCGGCGUGCUUAACACAUGCAAGUCGAACGGAAAGGCCCUGCUUGCGUGGUGUGCUCGAGUGGCGAACGGGUGCGGAACACGUGUGUAACCUGCUCUACUUUUUGGGAUAACUUCAGGAAAGUGGGGCUAAUACCAUAUAGGAGCUGCUGCUGCAUGGUGGGGGUUGGAAAUUUUCGGCGGUAGGGGCUGGACGCGCGGCUUACCAGUUUGUUGGUGGGGUAGUGGUUUACCGAGCCAGUGGCGGGUAGCCCGCCUGAGAGGGUGACCGGCCACAUUGCGACUGCGGUACGGCGCAGUCUCCUACGGGGGACAGCGGUGGGGAAUAUUGCACAAUGGGCGGGAGCCUGAUGCAGCGGCCCCGCGGGCGGGAAGACGGCCUGCGGGGUGAAAACCGCUUUCGCCUGAGACGACGCUUUAGUGACGGUACUGGGAGAAGAAGCACCGGCUAACUACGUG